rnacentral:lncRNA from 1 species
CAGAGUCUAAUGGUGCCCUUAAAUCACAUCAUGGAGACAUCUGCUGGCACCGCCUGAUGCCAGCCCCAGAUCAAAGCUGGUUGCUGCUGCUGGGGCAAUUGGGCUUCAGCACUAAUGCCAUCAAUGCACAGGAACCUGUGUCCUUAAAGGACCUGAUGAAGACACUGUCUGUCCCUUGGAGGUCCCCAGCAAUGUAUGGGAUGAUCUAGAAAGACCUUAGAGCUGGCCAAACUCCCCCUUCCUCCACCUGCCUGCCAUGGACACAAAACAAAGUGUGUGUGUCUGUGUGCGUGCGCAUGUGUGUGUAAAUCAAAAGACUCCUAACCUUCGAGUCAGAAGGUCUGGCUUCUCUUCAUUCCUGUCCUAGCCUGGGUUUCCAAAUAAAGAGCCUGGGUCAGGGCAUGUCAAGAUGAGAAACUUGGAGCUCAGAGACAUCCGUUAACUUAAAGUGGCUGAAGGGGGACUCCAAUCAGGGCAACCCACCUUAGAGUCCUCUGCUGUCCACCACUGAGCUGGGAAAUGAAGACUCUGCACAUAGCAUUUCAUCUGGCUGAUCCUUGGAGUCCCAGUCUAAGCAGGGCAGAAUAUAUGACUGAAGUGAACUCCACUCGACCUUCAAAUCCAACCCCUCCGAAGAGAAUAUUCCAAGAAUCAAGCAAAACCUGGGAGGUCAAGGAUGUUUCAUCUGCGUUUCCCCAUUCUCUUAGAUUGUCUCUUCUUUCCUCAAGUCUCAUAGAAUCUGAGAGUUAGAAGGUUCUCAAAGGUCAUCUCAAGCACAAUGCUUUGUGAAAUUUGAAGUCCAGCUACAAUAUGCCCAAUAAGCAUUUAUCCAGACUCAAGAGUCCCCAUUGCUGGAGAAUUGGAAUUUAAUAAUACCAAACAUAGCCCAAUCCAUUUUGGAACAAAUCUACUUGUGAGGAAGUUAUUUUAUUGUUGUUUGUUUUACAGCAUGCUGUAGGUGGUCUCUUUGAAUUCCAUCUAAAUACAACUUUUUGUAGUACAGUACUGCAAAUCAUCUAUUCUAAAGAUGCAUAUGUGUUUACACUGUAUCUGUGAACAUUCAUAACAAUUGAAGACACUUCUGAUUGUGCUUGGCUGGGCAGCAGACACGACGUUGUUGCUUAUGCAUGUGUGAGACAGGCUGUUUCAGGUAGUGUGAUAAAAAUUCUCUCAAUAUUUCAGUCAAACUAUUUAAGAGUCUUUGGAAUAAGGAAUAUAAGCCUUCUAUGUCUUAAAAAAAAUUUAUGGAGAUUUUUUGAAAAUCAUGAAAGCACCAGAUUCAAAACAUUCAGAAGGCAUCUUGGAAGAAAAAAAAAAUCUCAGGAGACAAUAGUGGAGGACUCUAAACAAAGUUGUAUUACAGUAUUCUUAAGAGUAAAAUCAAUGGGACGAUAGAGCAAAACUGCUCAACUAAUAUACCUAAUUCAUAGAAUGUAAUAGCUAUUUAGGAAAUGAAACAUUUAUUGUUGAUUUAUGAUGUGCUACUAACUCUGCUAAGCCCUUUCCAUAUUUUAUUCUACUUGAUCCACCCCAAGACCUAAUGAGGUAGUUAGCACAGGGCCACUAUCCCUUAUCCAAAACUUUUAGGCCAAAUUUUGAAAUUCAUAACUAUUUUUAUUAUUUAAGAAUAUAUAGUAUAUGUAUUGUAUCUUGUUUAACCCCACCAGCAGGGUCUGGGAUAGCAUGCUGUAAUCAAACACAUUAAUAUUUUGCAACAAAAUAUGUGCAUAUUCACAGACUGUGGGAUAAAGAAAUAUCAUAGUAAGUCUCCAGUCUCCCGUCUCAUGCCAGUUUAGGUCAAAGAUGAGUUUGUGAUGGGCUUAUGAAAAUGUUUUCUGUUCUCAGGUAUUUGGGGAUUUUAGAUAUGCAAAUUAGUGGUUUGGAAUUUGUAUUAGUGUCUCCAUUUUGCUAAUAAACAAAGUGAGGCUUUGUAAGUAGUUCCCCCUGACGCACACAGCUCAGAGUGUGGAGUUGGGUCUGAGACAAUCAAGGUCUUAACAACGAUGCUUGGCUGCCUCAGUGAAGCAUCCAUCUGCCAGGAGGUUGGGGGUCACUGCCAUGGGCCCUGAGUCUUCUCUUCUUUAGACUGAUCACUUGCCCAUAACUAUCUCUAGACUUCUUGCCACAAUGGCUCUCCUUUGAACACCCCAUGGUUUCUCACUUCUUAAACCACUGUAAGUAUGAAGUCUCCAUGAGGGGAGACUUAACUAACUGCUAAUAGAAGAACAGAAAGAACAGAAAGGUGUGUGGAGUUCCACGCUCCAACAGCAUCUACCACUUGCUCAAUGAAGUUUUUCAAAAAUAAAAAUAUUUUCUAAGCAGAUGAUGUGGCUCUUUUAUCGUGCUCAUCAUUUUAGAGAGAAAAAGAUCAAAGAUAGAGCCACCAUAGGUUCCAAACCCAAGGUUUGGGAAACUCCAUUCCAGUUCUAUUAAAAUUGCAGCUUUUUCAUAUAAAUUUCCCUGGAGAAGAAAUAUCAUAGGAGUUUUAAUAAUAAUAAAGUACAGGUUCUGUAGCCAACUCAUCUGGUUUGAAUCUCGUUCUGACACUUCCUAGCUGUGUAAUCUUAAGCAAAUUACUUAACCUCUCUGUGCCUCUGUUUUUCUAACAAAUGGGGGCAAUGAUAUGACCUACCUUUGAG